UUGUAUAAUAUAGAGAAGCUAUUUUUAUAUUUUCUUGUUAAUUAUAGGCUAUUCAAAUUUCAAACAUUGUCAAAAAAGAUUCAUCUAAACAUUACAAUAAGCUAGUGAAAUCAGAAACCCUAACACCUUCAUGUAGACCUCAGCUACACUAAAAGAUCCAAAUAUUGUAUCUAAAUCUAUAUAUUCCUAUUAAAACAAAGUUUCCUCCUCCCCUCCUUCAUUUAUCUGAAUUAAACUUUAUGAGUUCAAUCAAACACAUUGCAUCUACCCAAAAUCCAUCAUUAAAUUGCCAAGAGCCUUCAUGAAUUCAUGCAGCAGGAGCAUAAUCAUAGUCUCCAUCAUCGUCAUCUCCAUCUGAACAUGACCUUCUCUUCUCAAACCCUAUAAUUUUGAAAAUUCCAAACAUUUUAUUACUCUAUGUAAUCUUGAAUUAUGAGCUAUUUGAUAUAUGUACUUGUACCUCUUUUGAUAAGAUGGUGAGAUUAAUG
rnacentral:lncRNA from 1 species